rnacentral:rRNA from 1 species
UACGAAGGGGGCUAGCGUUGCUCGGAAUCACUGGGCGUAAAGGGUGCGUAGGCGGGUCUUUAAGUCAGGGGUGAAAUCCUGGAGCUCAACUCCAGAACUGCCUUUGAUACUGAGGAUCUUGAGUUCGGGAGAGGUGAGUGGAACUGCGAGUGUAGAGGUGAAAUUCGUAGAUAUUCGCAAGAACACCAGUGGCGAAGGCGGCUCACUGGCCCGAUACUGACGCUGAGGCACGAAAGCGUGGG